rnacentral:rRNA from 1 species
CCUACGGGAGGUAGCAGUAGGGAAUCUUGCGCAAUGGGCGAAAGCCUGACGCAGCAACGCCGCGUGAACGAGACGCCCUUCGGGGUGGAAAGUUCUGUCUGUGGGGAAGAAAAAUGACGGUACCCACUGAGGAAGCACCGGCUAACUCCGUGCCAGCAGCCGCGGUAAUACGGAGGGUGCAAGCGUUGUCCGGAAUCAUUGGGCGUAAAGAGUUCGUAGUUGGCAUGUAAAGUCAGAUGUUAAAGGCGUGGGUUCAACCUGUGUAUGGCACUUGAUACUUUCAAGCUGGAAUGCGGUAGAGGUAAAGGGAAUUCCUGGUGUAGCGGUGAAAUGCUUAGAUAUCAGGAGGAACAUCGGUGGCGUAAGCGCUUUACUGGGCCGUAAUUGACGCUGAGGAACGAAAGCCAGGGUAGCAAAUGGGAUUAGAUACCCCUGUAGUC